CUUAGAACUGUAUUUCUUCUGAAAUUUGAUUCAGCAGACACAGCCUAGGAGUGCUGCUAUCAAAGGAUGGAUUGCCUGAGUUUUGAAGGAUGUUGCUACUUUUUCACUGUACCGGAUUAAGCUGUACAGUGUGGCAGCUCC
rnacentral:misc_RNA from 1 species